rnacentral:rRNA from 1 species
UAGCCGUAAACGAUACUCGCUAGGUGUCGGCCACGGUGCGACCGUUGUCGGUGCCGUAGGGAAGCCGUGAAGCGAGCCACCUGGGAAGUACGGCCGCAAGGCUGAAACUUAAAGGAAUUGGCGGGGGAGCACCACAACGGGUGGGGCUUGCGGUUUAAUUGGAUUCAACGCCGGAAAUCUUACCGGGACCGACAGCAACAUGAAGGCCAGGCUGAAGACUUUGCCGGAUUAGCUGAGAGGAGGUGCAUGGCGUAGUCGUGU